AGGUACUGGUGGGGAUUUUUCACAUCAACUUUGGUCUGACUGCAUUUACUAUGUGGUCCUGUUGGAUAAUCAAUCAACAUUGAUCUUACAAGGCUCAAGCUCUUAAACAGGUGUAGUUUUCACUUGUGCAUCAGACCAAGGGCCAUUCUAGAUAUCAUCAGAUCAGGAGAAAAUUUCAGGAUAUCUUCAUCAACAAAAAUGCCAGAGCAAGGAACAUGUGAACGAUGUGGAUGGGGGGACUGAUGAUAAGACAGUAAUUGCAAUCCUGGCACACAGGAACUCAACGCAAAGGAAACAUAUUCAAGAAGCCUAUGAUGAACUCUACAAGGAGAGUCUCACCAAAAGGCUUGAAUCUGAACUCAGUGGUGAUCAUGAGAAAGCUGUGUAUCGAUGGAUGUUCAAUCCAAUUGAAAGAGAAGCGGUUCUUGCUAACAUAGCACUGCAUAAGACUGUUGAUUACCCUGUUAUCAUUGAAAUAGCCUGCAUAAAUUCACCUGCUGAUCUUCUUGUAGUGAAGCAAGCCUAUCAAGCUUUGUACAAACAGUCUUUGGAGGAAAUGUGGCUGCAUGCACUUCCGUCGACUUG